CCAAUAGCGUAUAUUAAAGUUGUUGCAGUUAAAAAGCUCGUAGUUGAAUUUCGGGAUCAAGGAAUCGGUCAUGCCUCGGUAUGUACUGGUUUUAUUGGUUCUCACCUUCUAAAGAACCAUGAUGUCAUUCAUUUGAUGUUAUGGGGAAUUAGGACUGUUACCUUGAAAAAAUUAGAGUGUUUAAAGCAGGCUUACGCUUGAAUACAUUAGCAUGGAAUAAUGAAAUAGGACAUCAGAUUCUAUUUUGUUGGUUUCUAGGAUCGAUGUAAUGAUUAAUAGGGAUAGUUGGGGGCAUUAGUAUUCAAUUGUCAGAGGUGAAAUUCUUGGAUUUAUUGAAGACUAACUACUGCGAAAGCAUUUGCCAAGGAUGUUUUCAUUAAUCAAGAACGAAAGUUAGGGGAUCGAAGACGAUCAGAUACCGUCGUAGUCUUAACCAUAAACUAUGCCGACUAGGGAUCGGAUGAUGUUAAUUUUAUAAUGACUCAUUCGGCACCUUACG
rnacentral:rRNA from 1 species